rnacentral:rRNA from 1 species
CCAGACUCCUACGGGAGGCAGCAGUAGGGAAUCUUCGGCAAUGGACGAAAGUCUGACCGAGCAACGCCGCGUGAGUGAAGAAGGUUUUCGGAUCGUAAAACUCUGUUGGUAGAGAAGAACGUUGGUGAGAGUGGAAAGCUCAUCAAGUGACGGUAACUACCCAGAAAGGGACGGCUAACUACGUGCCAGCAGCCGCGGUAAUACGUAGGUCCCGAGCGUUGUCCGGAUUUAUUGGGCGUAAAGCGAGCGCAGGUGGUUUAUUAAGUCUGGUGUAAAAGGCAGUGGCUCAACCAUUGUAUGCAUUGGAAACUGGUAGACUUGAGUGCAGGAGAGGAGAGUGGAAUUCCAUGUGUAGCGGUGAAAUGCGUAGAUAUAUGGAGGAACACCGGUGGCGAAAGCGGCUCUCUGGCCUGUAACUGACACUGAGGCUCGAAAGCGUGGGGAGCAAACAGGAUUAGAUACCCUGGUAGUCCACGCCGUAAACGAUGAGUGCUAGAUGUAGGGAGCUAUAAGUUCUCUGUAUCGCAGCUAACGCAAUAAGCACUCCGCCUGGGGAGUACGACCGCAAGGUUGAAACUCAAAGGAAUUGACG